rnacentral:rRNA from 1 species
UACGAAGGGGGCUAGCGUUGUUCGGAAUUAUUGGGCGUAAAGCGCGCGCAGGCGGCUCAUUAAGUCUGAUGUGAAAGCCCACGGCUCAACCGUGGAGGGUCAUUGGAAACUGGUGAGCUUGAGUACAGGAGAGGAAAGUGGAAUUCCAUGUGUAGCGGUGAAAUGCGUAGAGAUAUGGAGGAACACCAGUGGCGAAGGCGACUUUCUGGCCUGUAACUGACGCUGAGGCGCGAAAGCGUGGGGAGCAAACAGG